rnacentral:misc_RNA from 1 species
AGAAACGUGCCAGGAGUACAUUCAGAUGGCAAUAGACAUUCAUCCAGGUAAAGACAUGACGCAUCACCAUUAAGAACAAUUUUCUCUUUUAUCUCAGGACCUUGAGCAGCACUUACAUCAUCUACAGUACUACUUUUCUCAGAAUAUCUUCCCAAACCACAAGAAUGAGAUAGUUCCUGCAAGAAUNNNNNNNNNNAGCUGUGAUGCUCCCAAAAAGCAAAUGCACAAGGGUGUCUGGUUUUUGACAUGGUUUAGAAGCAGAGAACCAGAAGCAAGAGUCUGUAGCUCAUCCAUUGUAAGUUGUAUCACCUUGUUUAGAUGGCUUGCAGCAAGAUACUUGCGUUUAAUAAGUGCCUCAAAUACA